CCCUUCAGUGAUAUGUCUUAACUCUGAUUCAACUACAACAGUGUGUAAAACUGACGUCACUUGAUAAAAGGGACCACGCUAGACGCCCUGCACCACAAUGAGUUCUGCCCCAAAGGUGAUUCUGUACCAGAUAUCGAGAGGACCAAGGGCGCCAAGUUUCUCCCCAUUUGCUCUCAAGUUGGAGACCUUUCUUCAAAUGGCGAGAAUAGAAUAUCAGAAUGAUUUUAGUGUCAAGCGCUCGUCCAAA